UUUACCCUAGGGUGUGCGUCAGUUGGAUUUAAGUCCCUGAGCCGAUAAGCAAUACCAAAGGGUUAGUACUUGAUAGCUAUUGAGCAAGCUUGGCAUGCACCGAGAAGCCUACGGUUAUCAUUGCUGAUCCGCCUUGAACCAGCUGGUUCAAGGGUACCACAAUCCUCAACGGCACCUAGGGUAUCC
rnacentral:other from 1 species